GAUGAACGCUGGCGGCGUGCCUAAUACAUGCAAGUCGAGCGAACGGACGAGAAGCUUGCUUCUCUGACGUUAGCGGCGGACGGGUGAGUAACACGUGGAUAACCUACCUAUAAGACUGGGAUAACUUCGGGAAACCGGAGCUAAUACCGGAUGAUAUUUUGAACCGCAUGGUUCAAUAGUGAAAGACGGUCUUGCUGUCACUUAUAGAUGGAUCCGCGCUGCAUUAGCUAGUUGGUAAGGUAACGGCUUACCAAGGCAACGAUGCAUAGCCGACCUGAGAGGGUGAUCGGCCACACUGGAACUGAGACACGGUCCAGACUCCUACGGGAGGCAGCAGUAGGGAAUCUUCCGCAAUGGGCGAAAGCCUGACGGAGCAACGCCGCGUGAGUGAUGAAGGUCUUCGGAUCGUAAAACUCUGUUAUUAGGGAAGAACAAAUGUGUAAGUAACUGUGCACAUCUUGACGGUACCUAAUCAGAAAGCCACGGCUAACUACGUG
rnacentral:rRNA from 1 species